AUUAAUUCAGCAUUUACUGUACACUUAGUGAACACUGUUUUAGUUAGUGGAGCAGGACUAAAUGAUUUAGGCAGAAUAUAUGCUGGAUGUGCAGAUACGUCUCUUUAGGUUAUAAAGAAUGUCAGUUAUGGAUUUUGAAUGUCAGUGUUUGGUUGCUAAGUACCUGAGAUAUGUCAGCCAGGUUAAUGGAAAUGAAAACAUUCUUAAGGAUGCAUUUGUUUUAAAACCCAGAAUGGACUUGAGACUGACCUUCUCGGUUCCCUGAAGACCAUCUUAGCCCCUGGCGUGGUUUCCAUCUUGAACAUCAAUAGGCAACUGCAGCAUAUUUUCAGGACUUCAUUGACAAUGGCUGAAAAGAUAGAAGAUCAAAAAAGAGAAAUAGAUGGUUUUCUGAGCAUAUUGUGCAACAAUCUCCAUGAACUCCAGGAAAAUACAGUUUCUUCCUUGGUUGAGUCACAGAAGCUUUGUGGGACCCUAAAUGAA